UACGUAGGGGGCAAGCGUUGUCCGGAAUUAUUGGGCGUAAAGCGCGUGUAGGCGGCUCGGUAAGUCUGCUGUGAAAGUCCAAGGCUCAACCUUGGAAAGCCGGUGGAUACUGUCGAGCUCGAGUCCGGAAGAGGCGAGUGGAAUCCUGGUGUAGCGGUGAAAUGCGCAGAUAUCAGGAGGAACACCAAUGGCGAAGGCAGCUCGCUGGGACGGUACUGACGCUGAGACGCGAAAGCGU
rnacentral:rRNA from 1 species